rnacentral:rRNA from 1 species
CGCUAGCUACAGGCUUAACACAUGCAAGUCGAGGGGCAGCAUGGUCUUAGCUUGCUAAGGCCGAUGGCGACCGGCGCACGGGUGAGUAACACGUAUCCAACCUGCCGUCUACUCUUGGACAGCCUUCUGAAAGGAAGAUUAAUACAAGAUGGCAUCAUGAGUCCGCAUGUUCACAUGAUUAAAGGUAUUCCGGUAGACGAUGGGGAUGCGUUCCAUUAGAUAGUAGGCGGGGUAACGGCCCACCUAGUCUUCGAUGGAUAGGGGUUCUGAGAGGAAGGUCCCCCACAUUGGAACUGAGACACGGUCCAAACUCCUACGGGAGGCAGCAGUGAGGAAUAUUGGUCAAUGGGCGAGAGCCUGAACCAGCCAAGUAGCGUGAAGGAUGACUGCCCUAUGGGUUGUAAACUUCUUUUAUAAAGGAAUAAAGUCGGGUAUGCAUACCCGUUUGCAUGUACUUUAUGAAUAAGGAUCGGCUAACUCCGUGCCAGCAGCCGCGGUAAUACGGAGGAUCCGAGCGUUAUCCGGAUUUAUUGGGUUUAAAGGGAGCGUAGAUGGAUGUUUAAGUCAGUUGUGAAAGUUUGCGGCUCAACCGUAAAAUUGCAGUUGAUACUGGAUAUCUUGAGUGCAGUUGAGGCAGGCGGAAUUCGUGGUGUAGCGGUGAAAUGCUUAGAUAUCACGAAGAACUCCGAUUGCGAAGGCAGCCUGCUAAGCUGCAACUGACAUUGAGGCUCGAAAGUGUGGGUAUCAACCAGGAUUAGAUACCCUGGUAGACCACACGGUAAACGAUGAAUACUCGCUGUUUGCGAUAUACAGCAAGCGGCCAAGCGAAAGCGUUAAGUAUUCCACCUGGGGAGUACGCCGGCAACGGUGAAACUCAAAGGAAUUGACGGGGGCCCGCACAAGCGGAGGAACAUGUGGUUUAAUUCGAUGAUACGCGAGGAACCUUACCCGGGCUUAAAUUGCAGAUGAAUUACGGUGAAAGCCGUAAGCCGCAAGGCAUCUGUGAAGGUGCUGCAUGGUUGUCGUCAGCUCGUGCCGUGAGGUGUCGGCUUAAGUGCCAUAACGAGCGCAACCCUUGUUGUCAGUUACUAACAGGUUCCGCUGAGGACUCUGACAAGACUGCCAUCGUAAGAUGUGAGGAAGGUGGGGAUGACGUCAAAUCAGCACGGCCCUUACGUCCGGGGCUACACACGUGUUACAAUGGGGGGUACAGAGGGCCGCUACCACGCGAGUGGAUGCCAAUCCCCAAAACCUCUCUCAGUUCGGACUGGAGUCUGCAACCCGACUCCACGAAGCUGGAUUCGCUAGUAAUCGCGCAUCAGCCACGGCGCGGUGAAUACGUUCCCGGGCCUUGUACACACCGCCC